GUGACAUGACGCUGAGCCAACAGAACCACUCGCUCCGUUAACCACAGGGAUUUAUCACAAGUCGUUAUCUUUAGCUAAGAUAUUAACUACGGCCGUUAAUAGACUUUCUUUUUUCGAGCUGAACCGCUGAACACGCACAGCCACGAUGAAUACGGCUUGAAGCACAUGAGCAACCCUAUGGCCAGCAGGAGGCAGAGAGCGGUGGAUGAUGGAGAGCGGCGUCUCAUUGGACCUCCUGCCGCCACCACCACCAGUGGGGAUCCCCUGGACCAAGAUGCCUCCACACCGGGGUUCGUCUAUGUGUUGGCAUUUUUCUCCGCCCUGGGAGGAUUCCUCUUCGGGUAUGACACUGGGGUGGUCUCUGGGGCCAUGCUGCUCCUGAAGAAGGAGAUGAACCUGAACGCCCUCUGGCAGGAGCUGCUGGUUUCCAGUACGGUUGGGGCUGCCGCGCUCUCCGCCCUCAGUGGUGGCUUCCUGAACGGGUGGCUGGGGCGCAGGAUUUGCAUCCUCAUGUCCAGCUUCAUCUUCAGCAUUGGUGGCAUCAUCUUGAGCGUCGCCCCGGACAAGGUGGUUCUACUUGUGGGCAGAAUCACAGUUGGUUUGGGCAUAGGCAUUGCCUCGAUGACAGUUCCUGUAUACAUCGCUGAAGUUUCCCCGUCUCACCUGAGAGGUCAGCUGGUCACUAUAAACACCCUCUUCAUCACUGGUGGCCAGUUCAUUGCCAGCCUGGUGGAUGGAGCUUUCAGCUACCUGAGCCAUGACGGCUGGAGGUACAUGUUGGGUCUGUCCGUUGUUCCAGCGCUGCUGCAGUUUGUUGGCUUCUUCUUCCUGCCUGAAAGCCCUCGCUGGCUUCUCCAAAAGGGCCGCAGCGAGGAGGCCCGUCAAGUUCUCAGCCGGAUCAGAGGAGGCCUGACCGUUAACGAGGAGUAUGACGCCAUCAGAACCAGCAUCGAGGAAGAGGAGAGAGAGGCGGGUGGAGGAGGUCUCGUUAUUUUGCGGAUCCUCAGCCAAGGUCCGACUCGCAGGGCUCUCAUCGUUGGCUGCGGCCUCCAGAUGUUUCAGCAGCUGUCUGGGAUAAACACCGUCAUGUACUACAGUGCAACCAUCCUGCAGAUGGCGGGGGUGCGGGACGACAAACAGGCGAUCUGGUUAGCCGCUGCAACCUCUGCUACCAACUUUGUGUUCACCCUGGUUGGAGUCUGGCUGGUGGAGAGAGUGGGCCGCAGGAAGCUGACCCUGGGCAGUCUCUUAGGUACUGGUCUGAGCCUGACUCUGUUGGCAGUUGGGUUCUUGCUAUCCGCCCUGAACUCUCCGCCCGUCACCCUCCACCCGGUCGACGCUCAGAACUCGACCUGCAGACAGUACGGGUCCUGUGAAUUCUGCAUGUUGGAUCCGACCUGUGGAUUCUGUUAUCGUGAAAAUGGGACCAAAGUGUACGACUCCUCCUGCGUCCCAGCCAAUCAAGCGGCCACAGAUCAUGCGGCGUGGGGAAGAUGUUCUAACCAGACAGAGGCAACUGACAGCCCAAUUUGGGCCUACAACUACUGUCCCACGUCUUACUCCUGGAUCGUCCUGGUCGGCCUCAUCUUCUACCUCGCUUUCUUCGCUCCAGGUAUGGGCCCAAUGCCUUGGACAGUGAACUCGGAGAUCUACCCUCUGUGGGCCCGCAGCACCGGAAACGCCUGCUCAGCCGGGGUCAACUGGAUCUUCAACGUCUUGGUGUCUCUGACCUUCCUUCAUGUCGCUGAGUUUCUGACCUAUUAUGGGGCGUUCUUCCUGUACACAGGCCUGGUGGUGCUGGGUCUCCUCUUUGUCCAGGGCUGCCUCCCAGAGACCCAGGGCCUGCAGCUGGAGGACAUCGAGAACCUGUUCACCGGUCAGCUCUGCUCCUGUGGAGCCUCCACACACAGCGGCAAUCGUCACAUCCACUACAUCCGGGUAAAAGGCAACAACCGCCUCCUCUCUGACAGUGAUGCCUCAGACGUAGACUAGACUGGGAAGGUUUUCUUGGGGGUUCUCUGUCUUGUCUGUCUUGAGGAUUGGGAAGACGCAGAUGUGGGGAGGAAAGGUGAUCAUGUCGCUCUCUGGUGGCUGCAGUCAACUAAGGGAAAAAAAGGUGUGAACUCUCAAGUGAAUGACUAAAACUGGCACUUUCCGUUGCUCUGGCGACUCUUUUGUAAGUUAUCUCUGUUUUUCCUGUUCAAGCCAUGUUCUGUCGCGCAUUCCCCUCAUGUCCCAUCGCUCUCUCUGCCAUCUUAAAAGGGAAAACUGAAGCUAGGUUCAUUUGAAUGAGUUUUUGAUAAUGUUGCUGAGAUAACGAAAAUCUCAAGAAAGUGUGUUCUUCAGUCUCUGUGCUGCAGCACUUUCAGUAUUGAAUAAAACAAUGAGUAGGCUGAAUUCUGUGCGCUCAUAUUCAUCAAAACUCACUGGACGACAUUGGAGCUUUUCAGAGUGAACAGGUGGAAUAUCUUCGGCCAAGUCGGUCCCCUCAUCUCAGUCCAGUUGAGUUGCUUUCCACUUGAUGAAGAUAAGACUGAAGUCAGAAACAAGUAAUAGCUGAAGGUGGCUGCAGUGAAGGCCAGUGAAACGCAAACACUUGUACUCUUUCAAGGAAGGUCUGUUUUCAACAAACAGAUCUUCUGUAUUUUAAGGACGUGAACUUUGGAGAAUGAUUUUUGUUUUUUCAGUGAGUUCAGAAACCAAGUGACCUGGUUGCUGACUCACCGCGUCCUCAGCCUUUUUUUCUGUAGUGUCAAGACAAUUUAAUUUCCAGAUGAAAAACUCUUUGCAGGACUUAAAUCAGACCAUCCAUCUUUUGUUGGCACUCAGACUACAAAACCUACACACCAGAAACAAUGUGUGUGUGUGCUAACCUUAAUCAUCUGUAGUUUUAGAGUCAUAGAUUUCAGAAUUAAAAGAUCCACAUUGUGGAGAAGAGACUAUCAUUGAUUUCUGCCUUAUUGGGACAUUUUGUAUAUCUGUACAUUCUGUAGAACUCUUUCCAUACACAUUCCUGUUAAAAUCCACAUUAGUGAUUUGAAUCUGUGCUUUUAACCCACUAAAUCAGCUUAUUGUGGGUUGCUGCUAUUGUCUACACAGUGGGAGUGGGAGUGAUUGCACUUUUAAAAACCAAAAAGGUGUCUUAUUUCUAAAGAUUUUUAUGUUUUUAUGAUAUUAUGUCUGGUUGCGAGAAUGAGUUGCUUAAAUCUCCAAUUUUCUAGUCAGGCUCUGAAUUCAGCUCAGCACACUACGCAGCAGUGGGGUCAGACAGUGCCAUAGCCUAUAUAACUCUCAAAUAAUGGUGACCAGGUAGCCCUGAACAACAUAACGCAGUGUUCACACUCCGACAUCAUAACCAUUUAGUGUUCCUGCUAGCUUCUAAACACUGUACAAGAUUUCUCUUUAAAGGUCUUUUUGAUGCAUUCUUCUUUUUUAUUACACUGCAAGCUAGAAAUUGCCAUUUCUGUGCAUCUUCUAAGUGUUCCUUUUAAAUGGACGAUCUAUAAUUUGGUUUCUUAUAAUAUAGGAUUCCUACAUCUGGGAAUGUGUGAACUGAAUCGUUUUGUGAUGUGUGAAAUGUGUGAAACCUUUACGGGAACAAAAGAUGCUCAGUGUUUUUAACUAGAUAUUUUGUGGUUACAGAUCCAUAAUCCUUUUUGACUUAAUGUCAUAUAUAGAGGUGAUAUGACCCCAACACUAACAUGUUUUUGCUUUGGAAAAUGUCCAGUAUAAAUGUAGUGACAUAUUUAAAAUACUGAUGCUGCCAUGUUGUACAACAGACUCAAUUUACCCUCAGGGGAAAAUUAACGUUAACAAUAUUCAAAGGGAUGUUUCAGGUAAAAUGAUGUUUAUAGGCCAUAGAUCCAUUUUCAAAUGACGUAUGUGUCCAUUUUGGUACUGUGUCAUUUAGAUUUUAUACACAAAAUGUUCAUGCUGUAUAUAAAAUAACUCUCCAUGUUUCUUUGAUCAUGCACUUUUCAUUAAUAUGAUCUUUCAGAAAUAAACAUAUU